CGCGGAGUGCGGGGGAUGUAGUUCCGGUUGGGAGGGGCGUGGCUGAGGACUGUGAAGCAAUCGGGGCGAGGCCGGGUGUCUGUUCAACUCUCCCGCGUAUCGUCUGUUUCUUCGGCGGCGGACAGUGUUCUGUAAUGUGUCUCCCGUUGCCCGAGCUAAAGGUUUUCCUCGACGGAGUCUUUAGAAUACCGUGGUAGAGGCAGUCUCCACACCACUGUGCUCGAACAGCUCUAUGAAGAGGCCUAUGUGGAGAGGAGAAAAAGCCUCCACCAACAGCCAGCACCAACUUGCCAGCCAUAUAUGAACUCUCGCUAUGUUGCCUCGGCUGGUCUCAAACUCCUGGGCUCAAGUGAUCCUCCCACUUCGGCCUCCCAAAAUGGCGUCUUGCUCUGUCACCCAGGCUGGGGUGCAGUGGUGUGAUCUCAGCUCACUGCAACCUCUGCCUCCUGGGUUCAAGCAAUUCUUCUGCCUCAGCCUCCCAAAGAGCUGUGAUUACAGACGUGUGCCACAAUACCCGGCUAAAGAUGGGGUUUUGCCAUGUUUCCUAUGCUGGUCUGGAACUCAUGAACUCAACAGAUUGUCCCACCUCAGCCUCUCAAAGUGCUGGGAUUACAGGAAAGUCAAUGUUCUGAGCAAGAAGAACAAGGAACAGAAGGUAUAAUGAUAACAGAUGAGAGAGGAAAAAGCAGACUCAAUCAACUCCUACUUUUCCAUCAUUUUUCCGUUACAGAGAAUUAUCCUCAAAUUAGAAGGAGUAGGACCUACAUGGUAAAGAAAAAAUUUACGUGCAAGGCAGAUGAGGAAGUAAGAGAGCAUCCAGCCCCUUCACACAACUUCAUUCUCUGUCUUACCGAAAGAAUGUGAAAUGUGGUGGUAGCUUUACUGGGGACAGGAGAGGUGCCAGAAGUUUGAAGAUGGACUAAUCUCCUUGUUUUCUAAAAGAAGAACCUAUAAGUCUCUGAGCACAUUUUUCUUUGGCAAAAUUCUGGAAUGGAUAAUUAGACAAAUGGUUUGUGAAUCUUUAGAAAAGUGGCAAAAACAAGGCACAGCAUAAAUUCACUAAAAAAUA
rnacentral:lncRNA from 1 species